ACCAUGAGCUAAAGGCAUACACUUAACCAACCUAGCCACCCAGCUGCCUCACCAGCUGAUUCUUUAAGGCAACUGGACUAUCCAGGGGGCACCCGGGUGGCUCAGUCAGUUAAGUGUCCAGCUCUUGGUUUCUACUCAGGUCAUGAUCUCGUGAUCGUGGGAUCGAGUCCCAUGCUGGAUCUGCUCUGUGCAUAGUUUGCUUCAGAUUCUCUCUCCCUCUCCCUGUUUUCUCUCUCUCUCUCUCUCUCUCUCUCUCUCUUUCUCUCUCUGAAAUCAAUCAAUCUAAAGCAACUAGACUAUCUAGGAGCAACUAGAGAAUUUUCAGGGCCUUGUGUUCAGGUACCGUCAGAAAUUUCAAAACAGCGUAAUCUGGUGUAAUGUUAAACCAGGCAUGGACCCCUUCUGGGACAAGGGCCCAUGUGUCUGCAGAUUUGCACCCCCACAAAGUCAGCCUGGGCUAGGAAAGCCCUGACAUCUUCUCUGUACCACUGUUCCAGGAUUCACUUUCCAAGAAAAAGCAGGAAGAAUUUUCCUGUUGCAUCAUCAAAGACAAUGACAUUGGGCAUGUUAAACACUGUGUCAGUUGUGGAAAAUAAAACAUCUGACCAGUUUCUGCUUCCUGAUCCAAUUAGGGUAGAUAGAUGUUUGGUGAUUUUCAUGAAAGAAUUAACUUUAGCUUGUUAAAGGAUCAUGUUUUCCUUACACUAGAGAAUUCAUGUAUACACUGCAGUGACUCAUUCCCAAGAUCACCUCUAUACUCACACAUGACCAAACUCAGAAAAAAAUAGUACCUAGUGGGGACAUAGAUUGGGUCUAAUAUUUGCAGUAUUUAAGAUCAGUUGAGAAAGAAAAAACAGCCAUUACUCAUCUGUUGGGUUUUCUCUGAGAGGGACAUCUAGUCUUCAACAGAUUUUGAGUUGCCAGUGACACUGGCAUGGAGUCCAUGUUGUCUGGUGUGAAGGGUCUCGGGCAGACCAGCCCCACUGUCCUAACUCUGUCAGUCAAGCUGGCAGCUGAUCCAGUUUGGAUCUUUCAGCAUGUUUUUAUGUUUUUGUAUUUUGAAGAAAAUUAACAUGCAAACUCAUCUUGCAUGCCAUUUCCAUUUACAUACCCUCUGGGGUGCAUUUUCCCUUGUAAAAUCUGUUCUGUUCUUGUUAUUAUUGUUUUGUUUGUGUGGUCAUUGAGAAAACACAUGACUAUUACAAUCCCCACCUCCCCCACCCCCACACCCAAUUUAAGAGGAAAACUACAUUAAGAAGACUCUUCAUUGUUCAAAAUCAUUAGUCUUAGGUCUUUAAGAGGCUGCCAUUCUUAAAGCCACUUGACCAUUUUUACCGGAAACCUCAGAGCUCGGCACAUGUGGCCAGUGUGUCUCAAGCCUGUAACCUGUGGCCUGCCUCUCUCUGUGGUUAACGACCACUUAGCGGACAGGUCUUGGGGAAGCCACCAGGUCAUGCUUGGCCCUGUGCAAUUACUCCAUCCUGUCCCUUGGUUUUGCAUUUACGAACAGCCCCAGAAUUUUUGCUCCCUGGUGUUUAAAGGGCACUGGGGCACACACAGCAGAGGCUUCUAUCCAUUUCACAGUAUUCCGAGCGGAGGAAAAGGGCCAUUUCUCUUCCCUUAUCUGUUUAUGAUGCGAUAUGUUCCAAAGCGGAUCCCAUCAGCCACUGUUAUGGUGAACUUAAUUCGCUGUGAUGGGGGUCCUACCACCAGGGCUGCCGCAGAGGCUGCCGAGGCGCAUCCCGUUUCAUGCCACAUUACGCAGGAUCGAGGACCGCCUCACCUGACUGGCUCAGGCUCCCUCUCACUUGGCACAGAUUUAUCGGGAUUUAUGCUCUAAAACAGUUUUUCACAUUUUUUCUCAUGUUGAAGUACGGAAAACGUCCGUUGUGUGCAUGGCUACCGUUGCUGAGCCAUGAUUACAAUGUGAAAACAUGCGCUCAAUGUGCAAAUUAAUUCACAAACUGAAUUUGUCAAACUAGCUUUGCACAGAAUAAUAAAGGUGUCUGCUAAAACUCCAACAAGAGAAUAUGUCUGGGAGUGGAGCAUGGCACGGGAGCAGAGACAGAGUUUGCGAGUUGAGGUGGUUUUUCCUUUAACUUCCCACGUUUUGAUGGGUUGUUUAAUAAUAGAUGAGAAAAUGGAGGGAAGUCCUGAAAAUAAAAAUAGUGUGAUUGCUUCUGGAACAGUCUGGUCAUUCUGACUUUCUCUCAUAAUAUUCCAGGUUUUCAGAAGGAUUUUCUUGAAAGUCACAUGUGCUCUGAGCUGCCCUCUGUGCCCCCCCCCCACCCCACUACCUGCCCCCGUGCCUGCUCUCCCUUCUCCAGGACCAGCCCCAGCCAACUGGCCCCAGCUCUGUGCAGGGCUCUGGGAAGACAGGCCCGCCUCCCCUUCCAGUUACACCUACCUCUCUAACUGGUCGCCUUUUAAGUGGGCACUUAAAGGGUGGAGAGGGAUGGGCCCUGGGGUCCAUGCUGUGAUUCCAGGGCCCAGAAAGUAAACAUGAGCAGAUUCUCCCAUUCUGGGAUUAAUUUCCCACGUAUGAAACCUGAGAAGGCAGUUCAGGCCACUCUUGGAGGGCCACAGCCUGGGCCAGGGAUUCCACCUUCACUGCCAGCAAUAUGGCAUCUGCAGGCUGUGGACCCAGAGAGGCCUCAAAGCGGCUGCUACAAGGGAAUGGGAGUGUGCUGGGCCCCAGAUGGAUGGUUAAAAGCUCCAAGGGAGUGGCUGCGCGGGUGCCGUGUGUUGUCCAAAUGGGAAGCCAGGUGAGGCCUGCCUUCCAGUGGACCCAGCGGGAGGAGGAAGGCCUGGGUGGACGUCUGGCCCAGGGGUGCAGGGCUCUCCCAGCACAGUGAGGUUAAUACCCGCCUUUGUCUUUUCAAGCCAAUGUUCCCAUGGGACCUUCAACUUCAGAGUCAGUAGGUCUUUAAAUCACCCAGCCUCUGCAGAGGGGGAAUGGAGGCCCAAGAGAGGGUGGCUGCCUGGUGAAAGACGCCCUCCCAGAGAUGCCCAGUUCUGUUCUUUGUGACUGUCUGGCCUGUCGUAGACAACCAGGGUUGUGUCGUAGACAAUCCUCCUGGGUUGUGAGGAUUGACCUGGGUCUGGUCCGGAAUCAGCCGAAUGUUUUCCCCUCCCCAGGUCAGCUUGAGCUUGUGACCCAGCCUGACAUCUCCUUUAUGUCUACUUUGAAAUUUUCAAGGAGUAUCCCUGCAGGUUAUCCCAAAACUUGAGAGGAAUGGUGUUGUAUAUGCUCUGUUGCUUGUAGCCCAGAGCAUACUUCUGCUCAGCCUGGCCAGGUUCCAAACAGACAGGUGCUGGGAGGUGCCCAGUGCUAAUGACAGCAAAGCUACCAGGGCCCCAGGACUCAGCCUGAACCCCGGACUGAGAUGUGGGUGUGGGACCCCCUCUGCUUGUGGUGACUGGCGCUCUCAUCCACUGCCUUCUGGGUGGAAGGGGGUGGGAGCCAGUGUGCACCGGGCAAGCAGUACCCCUGAGGACGUGCUCCUGCCUCCUGGGCUGCCCAGGAUUGCACCUGCAUCCCCCCACCAGCCACCCACCUCCAACACCUGCAGCUGGGCACACUUACCUAGGACUCACAGAAGUAAUAAGCCUAAUACAGUUGACUUUAUUUAAUUAAUAAUGAUUCUGUUCUGUUCCUGCAAGCUCAUAAAACACCCUGCAGGUUGGCAAAAACACUCAUAAUAUUGAUCAGAAGUCAGGAGGGAUAUUUAUUUUGUCUUUGCCCCAUGAGCAUAAAUCCUUGUCCGUUGCCUCCUGCUCUCUGCAUGCGGAAUUUACAGUGGCCAGUUUCUUAAAAGCUUUCGGUAAUUAAGGAAUAAAUAUCCAUCGGUCUUUGUUGGCCGCCCUCCCUUAGCAACGCAGCUGGGGGAGAAGGCAUGCAUGCCAGGGGCAGCCAAGUGCUCAGUGCUCGGCCUGCAGCGGGCCGGGGUCUGCCCCUGCAGAGAGAGGAAGCCCCCUGUUUUCCUAACAUAUUGUUCCAGCCCCCCUUCCGUGCCUCCCUCCCAGUUCCUGCUUUGCUUGAGGCAGAAAGACACUUUGGAAAUUCCUUGCUGCUAGCUAGCCCUGUCUUCCCUCUCCCGUCACUGUCACUGACUCCGCGGAAGCCAAGCGCGUCUCCUCCUCGCCGCUAAGGAUAGCCCUUCACUCCCAUAUUCUCUGCUCCAGAAUCUUCUUUAAAAUCAGUGUUGACAAAUCCUCUCCCAGCCCAUGAAAGUGGAAGAGAGAUGUUUCCGAAAAGAACAAUGUGACAAGUGACAGGCCCCCCAAAAAAGUUCUUGGCCUUUUAACGUUUGGGGGGAGGGGCUCCCAUAAAAAUGAACACAUUAGACUUGACAUGGAGGGGACUUUCGGGAAAGGCCACUGCUGGUCCGCGUCACAUGGAGGCGUCCAGGGAAAGUCUCGCUCAUACAGAAUGGAAGGCUGGGGCCAGAUCCUCCAAGGGUCACGGGUCCUCGAGGACCCAACAGGGUAAGCUGGUCACCGCACAGGUGUCUGUGCCCCACGUGACUCGCCUCCUGGAGUGCCGCAGAACAGUGCCGAGAGCCAAUCAGAAGCUUCGACGUUAUUUGCUAAAAACUGCCUUUUCUGGGAAUCCAACCCAUUAACCUCAUUCCCCCUUGGCAGCCUGCUGAGCCCCCCCUGCCAGACUUAAAGUGCAACUGAUGGCAGUUACAUGUGGCUACGUCAGGAUCAGAGACAGGGGCACCGCCUCAAGAGAACGCUCUCUGAGGACGGUGGCUAGCCUGGCUCUUCCUCACUCUCCGGGUCCCCCCACGGGCCUGUGAGACCUGCUCUGCACUCUGCUCCUCGCUGACGGUGACCGACAGCCCCUCUGGGACACAGCUGCUGGGGGCCCUGCCACCCAGUGUUGCUCACCUCACCGCACUUCUCUCAUGGGUCCUGGUGUCUGUGAUGUUGGCUUUGCACUCACUCUUCUCACCUCUCUGUGGUUUCCUUUCUCUUCAUUCUAAAUUUUUAAUGGCAAGUAGUUUUGGUACAGGAAAAAAAUGGGAGGAAAGAAAGGACAGCUUGUCUAGAAGGGUACUUUGCAAGCAGCAGAGAGAAUGUUCUAGAUCAUGUGCACCGUCCAGGGCCACAGCCGCCUGCUGCAUGUGGCAGCUGCACACCGGGCCUGGGUGUGGGGCAUCUAGAGGAGCUGAGCAGAACUCACCGUUUACUUCAAUGACACUUAGACACCAGCGUGUGGCUCACGCUGCCCCGUUGGGUGACAUGACUCGUUACCUACCCCUUCCCUGAGGAGAGGGAGUGGGUGUUGAGAUGGCCAAAGAGAGGCCCAGCCAGAAGCCUGCUGCCCAGGCACUGACCCAGGGUCAGUUUUCCUCAUUUGGGAGGCAGCGGGGCCCGGAGGAGGCGCUCAAGCAGUGACCCCUGGGUCAGCUGCUUGGCCAUCACAGGUGGGGGACCCAGAGCAGCUGUCUUCACUGCUCUGUGGCUCACCUUUUUCCCUUUUAAAACAAGGUAAGACCCACGUAUGUCACCAGGUGUCAUCAGAGUGAAACCAGAUAAUUUAUGAAAAGCUCAACCCAAUGGCUGACACAUCAGAGGUACUUAUAGCACACAGCAGCUGUGACCUGCACGGUCACACUCCUGGUCUGGGUGACAGAGUCAAGCCAUUUGAGUUGUGAUUCUUGCCUGGUGUACAGUCACGUGUGCACAGGCCAAUUACCGAAAGCCUGGCUCACGCAGACUUGUAAACAAUGGUAGAGAGACCGUGAGGGGCUCAGGGCCUGUAGCACGGCAGUGGAGGGAGGCACCCCAGGGGAUUCAGACAGGACGCCCCCCACAGCAGCACUUCUACUCACGGGGCUGAAAAGGCGCCAGCCUGGUACUGGGUAACUCCGGGUGCUAGGGAUACCCAGCCCUUCCAAGGACACACCCGCUGUUACCGAGGACGGGUGACCUUCACAGUCAAUGUCUUUCUUAUCAUACUCAACAGCACCAUCCGUGUCUUGCCCUGCCGGCCUUCUUCGCUUCUAGACACUUCCAUCCCCCUCUCCUCUGGCUUGUCAGUGACCUUCGUUGUCUGCCCCAGAGCUGAACAAUGCAGGGGUCUGCCAGCACCUGGCACAGUGGCCCUCACUCCAUGACUGGAUCCCAUAAUCCCAGAUGGAGCCCAGUGUAGCCCACACAUGCUGAGUGUCCCCAGCCCUGGGUCCUGGCCGCAGACCCCACUGCCCUGACCCUCCGCGUUUUGUUCCGCAAGCCUAAGUGCUUAUUUCUGUCCCUUGCCCUGCCCCCUUCUUGGCCAUCUUUUCUUGACUCUGGCCUGGAUUCUGUCAUCCACCGAGAUAGCUGCCCCUGUGGCCGCCUGUACGUCACCCAGCAUUUAUUCACAGGUCCCAGGAGUGACUGGUGCCACACCGAGAUGGCACCAGCAUCUGGCUCGCUCACAGGGCCCGUGCAGGCUGGAAAGCCCUUCUGCCCGCUGCACCCUGUCCCUGUCCAGGCCACAGAGAUGGGCUACGGCCCAACCACGGUCCCGGCCCGAGAGGGUGCCUCAAGCCCAUCUUGAAGGCCUGGCCUGGUGUGGGAGCCUUGCCACAGCCUGUCCUGCCAGGAUGACUCUGGGCUCCCUGGGUCUUCACCCUUCCCCCUCUUCUGAAACUUGGGACAAAACUGACCCAUCUCAUUUUUCCCCGAAGCUUUUCAGGAAACAUGAUUUCCUUUUUGUCAUGAUUUCUCAAAAUGACUCUGCCAUCACAUGUGCGUUUUGCUCAGUGUUUGAUAUGUAGCUCUUUUGUGAAAACAUGUAACAUGAGCCUGGCAUGACUGGGAAUUCUCCAGAAAGCCGGUUUCUGUCGUCAUCAUCCUCAUCCUCACCCUUACCCUCACCGCAACCAGUGCUCCCGGGACUUGGGGGCGGUCCCUUUUCUGCUGCACCCGGUAGCCUCACUGGUGUGGGCGGCUGUUUCCGUCCGCCAGGCACUACAGAGGCAGGCUGCAGGGGCAACGUGUCCUGGGGACAUCUUUAGGGAGGCACCUGAAACCUUGGCCACAUCAAGGUCAAGUAUGGCAAUACCUUGUCUGUUGGGCCACCGGACCAGAGCCCAUCCUGAUUUAGCCUGGCAGACCCCACAUGGCUCUGGGGACCAUGGCUCCCCCUGUCCUCUGAUCCCCAGAUCCUGGGCUCAGUACCUGGCCUGCCCACGGCUGCGCUCGUGCACCGGGCAGUUUCCUGGCCCCCAGACAGGAGGACAUAGCAGGCCCCCUCAGAAAGGGGUUUCAUUUCAGGCAGGAAGAGAGGAAAGUGUUACACCUCCAGUUGUAUCUUUUCUUUUUAUUUUUGGGGAUUGGGUUAGUGUCUUUCUUCUGAUGAGUUGCCCGUUCUCUCAUUUUCUCUCACUCCUGUGCAGUUGAUUUAUUUAAAGGUGUGUCAGCACGGGGCUCAAAUGAGGAGCUGGGCCUCCUUCUUUCUGCUGACGGCCGGCCAUGCCAAUAAGUCAUUUUUUAGCUCAUUAGCUAACGGAGACUGUGAGCCGCGGGCCUCUGGGGGAUUAGAAUGAGGUGAAGUGAUCUACUGCCAGCUACGCUGCUCUUGAACUGGCCUUCCUUGGGGAGAAUGAAAGGCUUGGCCAAGACAAGCGGGGGAUCCC